AUGUUGUUUCCUCAGUGGAGUGCUAUGGUCAUCUGCUUCCAACAUUUGCUGUAUGACACUGGGAUAACAGAACUGGCAGGACAGAGAGAAGAAAUAGCUGAAGCCUAUAGUGGAUGCCAAUCCAGUAGCCCAACAUCCUGCAGACUAAUCAGGAAGGGGAGGAGUAUGGAAUGCCAGGUGCUGAAGUUUCAAAGGAUUUGGGUCUAUUGGCAGAGGGCAAAGUCCCAUGAAGUGACUGAAGAAAAUUCAACAUCUUGGGCCUGUCUUAUUCUCCCAAGUAACCUCAGCACGUAUGUGUUAUUAUUAUCCCCAUUUUAUAAAUGAGGAAACAAGCCAAUUUAGGUGAAGUACCUUGCCCAGGGUCACAAAAUUGGUAAGUAUCUGAGGCCAGAUUUGAACUCACAUCUUCCUGACUCCAGGCCAGUGCUCUAUCCACUGAGUAAGUUCUCUGUUUAGAAGAGAGGCUCCCCAAGAUGCCCUUUAGAGGGAGAGGGUGAGCUCUCCAAUCACCUCGGGCCCAGCAUCAGUUCUAUAUUACUGUAUAUACAUAUUCAUAUACAUGUAGCUGUACACCCAUAUGAGUAUGGAUAUGUGAAUAUUGUACACAUAUAUUACAUAUAUAAAGGAUAAAUGAGGAAUUGUAACAAUUUGGCCUGCCUCUAAGUGCCUUUCUCUGAUUGAGAAACUUCUCAAAUUUAAGGGAAAAUGCCAGCUGCCUUUUUAGCCCUUCCUACAAGAGGAAUCAUCAAGAAAUUGCUUGAAGUCCAAGCUCUGAUACCUACUCAUUAUAUGACAUUGGAUGAGUGAAUUUCCUCCUCUAUGCCACAUAAUUCUUACAUCAUCUACCUCAUAAGGUCAUAUAAGGAAAAAAAUUAUAAAUUUAGAAAAACAUGUCAGAUUUGGAAAAGAUUUGAGAGAUUGCUUCAUGAAACUAUCCUCUCAUUUUUGUAUAGAGAAGGAAAAUGAGGCCUAGAGAGAGAUGGUAAUUUGUGCAAGGACCCAUAGCUAGUAUUUAUAAGAGAGGACACUAGAACUUAGACAGUCUGUCACCCAUCUCAACACUUUCUCCAAUGCAGAAUGCUUGCUGCCCUAUUGUUCCAAACAUCCAAUGACUCCCUACAAAAUGACACAUCCAAUAGAACCUCUUGCCUGGCAUUCAAGGUCAUUAACAUUUUUGCUUUACUCUCCUCAUCAAAUGUAACCAUCAGUCCUCUACACACAUCCUCUACUCUCUACUCCUUUACUGUCCUCAAACAUCCUGUGAUUUCCCCCAUUUUUUAGUCCUUUAAUGCUAGCGCCAUCAUUUGGUUCCUAUUUUUUGUCUGCCACUCUUUCAUUCAGGCCAGAAGUUCACAGGCUGCUCAUUGACUGAAUCCCACUACUGGUCAGCAUGGAAGUUUAGAUCUGUUCCAUUUCUAACAUGGGCCAAUUCACCUCUACUUGAUAGCCUGAUGGCCCCUUCUUCUGCAACUGAUGCCAGAAUUAAUGUGGUCAUCAGACUGUCUUUAGCUCAAAAGCAGCUUGAAACUCCCAAACUCAAGCUAUUCACUAUCCUCUCUCUCCCUUAGAAGCAGAGAUUUAGGCAUGUGCCACAAAGUCCAUUAAUUUCUUAAAUGAAAAUAGUUCAUGUUUUAAGAAUGUUUUAUAGUUUACAAAACACUUUCAUCACAGCAACCCCAAGGUUGGCUAAAGAAUGGCUAGAGAAAGUAUUUUUAUUUCAUUUUACAGAUGAGGAAACUGAGACUUAGAGAGAUCCAAUAAGUUUCCUGUGGCUGCUGAGCAUUAGAGCUGGAUCAUGACCAUAGCACCUAGCACUGUCUAGUACUAUUUCUUCUGGGCCUGAAUUCUCAAGGGCAACUUCAAGUCCUACUUGUUCCAUGAAGUCUAUGUCAUUCAUAUCUUUUUUUCCUCUGGCAUUUCAUAGCAUUUCUAGCCUGUAAUAAUACAAUGAUAUCCUGCCUCCUUGAGUUCUCAAAGCAUUUCAUGAAUAUGAGUCUUUCACCUACAAUUCUCUUCCAUCCUCCUCCACUUCCAUAUACCUCAACUCAGAGUUCCUUCAAAUAGGAAUCAGGUUUUAUUCUUCUCUUGUCUUCUUCAAGGAGAAUUGAACACAAAUGGGAACAUAUUGGCCCUCAGGACACACUGUUUAAAAUAUUGAUUGUCUGUUGUCAUUUCUAGAAGUUCAUUUCUCACCCAAGCCUAGAAGAGUAAUUAUACUCUCUCCUCCGCUCCCCUUAAAAACUUAAACCUAAAGACAGCUGUCCACUCUAACCCCUUGGAAGCCCUUGUGACAGUAGGAAAUUCAAGACUUCUUUCCCUGUGGCACGUUCCAGCCCUCAGAACACAUUUAGGGACCAUUCUGGGGUUUUAGAAGCCCACAUCUCACACACACACAUACCCCACUUCUGGCAUCUCCAAUUUCAGAAACAGCUGAAAAUGUUUUGAGGAAGGCCAUGGAUAAUCAUGGAAGAAGGCAUCAGGCCAACCAGCUGGCUAGUCUCAUCACCAUCCUGCUCAGAAUAUGGUCAGCACUAUUUGGAGCUGACACAUGGGCAAAAACCUGAAGCCUAGCUUUGUGUUUCUCCUAGGCAUUCACAAUGGGUAAAUUUUCAGAGCUCCAAUAUAGAUCAGCUUCCUCAGAAUUCAUGGAAGCAAUGGGGUGAAAAAAGCAUUAGACUAGCUAGAGUUUCUGGUUUCAAAAGGAAUUCUAAUACUAUUUGUAUGAUAUUGCAUAAGGCAUUAAAUUGUUCUGGUUCUCAGACUCAGCCUGCAAAAUAAGUUUGUAUCAGAAAACUUCUAAGGGUCCUUCUAGACCUAGAACUGUCAGUCUAUAACUGUCCUCCCCUGCCUCCUUUCUGUAGGUUAUCCAAAUCUCUUUCUCAUAUAAUAUCUAGUUGGACCUGAGGACUUUCUUUGUCCAGAGUAGUCAACAAGCUAGAACCCUUUGAUGGAGUCUAGUUCUUUGCAUAUUUAUUUUGGUAACUUUGUAAAUUCCUUUCCCUCUCCAAGUCUCAGCCUCCCUCAUGCCUAAUGAAGGAGAGAAGUGGGAUACAUAUCUUUAAGGUUCUUUCCAGCUCUGUUAUUCCUUAAAUCUAUGGCUAUUGAGGUAGAGCCAAGUUAGUGGAGUACAGGAAACAACCCAGUUGAACACUCCCAACAUUCCCCUCUAAACAACUUUAAAAAAUAACUCCUCAAAUCAAAUUCUCAUGCAGCAGAGCCAACAAAUUGUCAGAGUGAUAUUUCCCAAUCUAAGACAAUUUAAAAGGUUGUCAGGAGAGGUCUGUAACAGCAGGGUGGGCACCAGAACAGAGUACACAUAGCAGCAACUCUAACAAUGGGCCUUGGAGAUGGUCAAGACAGUGAUGGUGUGAUGGUGGAGGCAACAUUAGUAACUUUUGGAGCUCUCAGGCAAGACAUGGUAAAGAGGUCAAAAAGAGAUUUACAUGGAUCCUUUGUUGAUAAUGGUUCUACUGGUGCUAAGUAGCAAUUCUAUUUCCCAUAUGCAUUAUGGCUCACAGUUCCAAAGCACAGAGGAAGAUUUGUGACCUGCCAUAAAGGAUCAGGGGCCUUGAUCACAUUUUUAAGGCCAAGAAUAGCACUAGCACUUGUGGCUACAGGAGAGUAGGGGUCCUGGUAACAGUUUAAGAACCAAGAGAAACAUUAGUGCUUGUGGCUCUAGGAGAGCAGGGGACCUUCAUGAGUAAAGACAAUAACACAGACCAGGAGAGCACUGACAACAUCUCACUCCUAAUCACAGCACCUUUGAAGGAAUGAAAACUUGUAUCCCACCAGAACUAGUUCAGAAAAUAGCAUCAUGAUGUAUAAUUGAAAAUCUGUUAUCCUAAAAAAUGAACUACAUUUCCCAGGAGUCUACUGACUUUCUAUCAUUAUAUGCUUCCUGUAGAUAGGGGAUAUUAGAUAGGGACAUGGAAGGUCCCACUGCUUUACUUCCUGUCCCAAGCUUGGUGGUGUGUGAUAAUUAAAAUGUUUUGGGAGCAAGGGAAAUAUAUAACAAUUAUGACCACUGAAAUAUGUUUUCUACUGUGCCUUGGGUUUAUAUAAAUAUAAGAUGGUCGCCAGGGAAUAUAUUCCCAAUUUAUGAAUAUGCCCAAGCCAACUGGGUUUUAUAGAGAAAUUUAAUUUAUAAUACACUGAUUAAUCAAUAGAAAAAGAGAGAAAGUAAGAAAGGAAUAAGAAUGAAUAAAUCAGUCAGUUGGUUUUAUCA
rnacentral:lncRNA from 1 species